rnacentral:rRNA from 1 species
UACGUAGGUGGCAAGCGUUAUCCGGAAUUAUUGGGCGUAAAGCGCGCGCAGGCGGUCCUUUAAGUCUGAUGUGAAAGCCCACGGCUCAACCGUGGAGGGUCAUUGGAAACUGGGGGACUUGAGUGCAGAAGAGGAGAGCGGAAUUCCACGUGUAGCGGUGAAAUGCGUAGAGAUGUGGAGGAACACCAGUGGCGAAGGCGGCUCUCUGGUCUGUAACUGACGCUGAGGCGCGAAAGCGUGGGGAGCGAUCCGG